UACCAGACUCCUACGGGAGGCAGCAGUGGGGAAUAUUGCACAAUGGGGGAAACCCUGAUGCAGCAACGCCGCGUGAGUGAAGAAGUAUUUCGGUAUGUAAAGCUCUAUCAGCAGGGAAGAAAAUGACGGUACCUGAGUAAGAAGCCCCGGCUAACUACGUGCCAGCGGCCGCGGUAAUACGUAGGGGGCAAGCGUUAUCCGGAUUUACUGGGUGUAAAGGGAGCGUAGACGGCGAUACAAGUCUGAAGUGAAAGCCCGGGGCUCAACCCCGGGACUGCUUUGGAAACUGUGUUGCUGGAGUGCUGGAGAGGCAAGCGGAAUUUCUAGUGUAGCGGUGAAAUGCGUAGAUAUUAGGAGGAACACCAGUGGCGAAGGCGGCUUACUGGACUGUAACUGACGUUGAGGCUCGAAAGCGUGGGGAGCAAACAGGAUUAGAUACCCGGGUAC
rnacentral:rRNA from 1 species